AUACAAUAGAUCAUUGAAAAGAAUUGAGUAAUUACAAUGUAUGAAUAAUUUAGACAUUGUCCUCGCUCUGUUUACAACGUCAACGCUAAAUCACAGAUUUUCACGUCUUGAUACAACGGCUGCAUUCCAAGCCACAACAAGUGCAACUUCAAACUGGGUUUAGCAGAACUCUUCCCAACCAUAAAACCCAUGUCUUCAACUUCUAAGACUGUAUUGAAUUCAUACGAUUGAUAAUAUACGACGAACUAUCUUUAC
rnacentral:lncRNA from 1 species